rnacentral:rRNA from 1 species
AGUGAACGCUGGCGGUAGGCCUAACACAUGCAAGUCGAACGGCAGCACAGGAGAGCUUGCUCUCUGGGUGGCGAGUGGCGGACGGGUGAGGAAUACAUCGGAAUCUACUUUUUCGUGGGGGAUAACGUAGGGAAACUUACGCUAAUACCGCAUACGACCUACGGGUGAAAGCAGGGGACCUUCGGCCCUUGCGCGAUUGAAUGCGCCGAUGUCGGAUUAGCUAGUUGGCGGGGUAAAGGCCCACCAAGGCGACGAUCCGUAGCUGGUCUGAGAGGAUGAUCAGCCACACUGGAACUGAGACACGGUCCAGACUCCUACGGGAGGCAGCAGUGGGGAAUAUUGGACAAUGGGCGCAAGCCUGAUCCAGCCAUACCGCGUGGGUGAAGAAGGCCUUCGGGUUGUAAAGCCCUUUUGUUGGGAAAGAAAUCCAGCUGGUUAAUACCCGGUUGGGAUGACGGUACCCAAAGAAUAAGCACCGGCUAACUUCGUGCCAGCCGCCGCCGUAA